GGCUUUAAUAUUGAUUCACUGAUAGGGUCUUUGCAUCGGAACUAAACACAUUUAUUUCUUGGCAUGACACGGGUUAUGUUCUUCUCAUAUAUUCUAUGAUAGUAUGAUACUAAACCCCUAACGGGAGGGAUUGUGCCUGAUAUUCAUAUGAUGAAGACAUCAUCUUUCAAUCAGUUUAAUUGAGGUCUGGAGCUGGCAUGUCAGUUAACUGCUAGUAGUCUGUUGUUAUUUAUGUAUUAUUGUCAUUUUAUUUAUUUUCUUUUGUUACAUCUUUUGACAUCGGACUCGGACUUCUCUUGAACUGAAUUUUAAUGUGCGUAUUGUUAUGCUUUUACUUUUCU
rnacentral:lncRNA from 1 species